GGGGUAAGAUGUACGCAGUCCAUACCACUACUUCAAGAGAAGUAGAAAGGUUAUUUUCUAUAGACCCCCGGCUCAAGUCAAGGAAUAAUAGACAAGUACUUAAUAAAGUAUGGAACAAGAUGUCAAGACAAAAAUAUGCCACCCACAAGGGAUAAUAAACAAAGAAUAGUAAACACAUUCGUAAUAAAACAUACAAAAAAGUGUCCUAGAAAGAAUAAUACAUCUACCAAGUAAUAUCCUACCCCAAUGACUCAAAAUGGCACUAGCCUUCUAUCCUAAUCCGCGGCGCCCUCCAGAUCUUCCUAUCUAGGGUCAUGUCCUCAAUGAGCUAUAAUUGCUCUAUGUCCCGCCUGAUCACCUCUCUCCAGUAUUUCUUUAGCCUACCCCUACUCCACCUAAAACCAUCCAAACCAAGCUUCUCACAUCUACGAGUUGGGGCAUCCGUGCCCCUUCUCAUCACAUGCCCGAACUAUCUCAAUCGGACUUCCUGUAUCUUGUCCUCCACCAAAGCCACUCCAACCUUUUCCCAAAUAGUUCAUUUCAAACUCUAUCACCCCUAUUAAGCCUACACAUCCAAUGAAACAUAAUAUUUCCACCACCUUAAAUUUUUGAAUGUGAGAGUUCUUGACUGACC
rnacentral:lncRNA from 1 species